rnacentral:tRNA from 1 species
CGCCGAACUGGGCGACCCGGCGCGGCCGACCGUCCUUCUGGUGCACGGCUACCCGGACAGCAAGGAGGUGUGGGCCGAGGUCGCGUCCCGGCUCGCCGC